rnacentral:rRNA from 1 species
GACGAACGCUGGCGGCGUGCUUAACACAUGCAAGUCGAACGGAAAGGCCCUGCUUUUGUGGGGUGCUCGAGUGGCGAACGGGUGAGUAACACGUGAGUAACCUGCCCUUGACUUUGGGAUAACUUCAGGAAACUGGGGCUAAUACCGGAUAGGAGCUCCUGCUGCAUGGUGGGGGUUGGAAAGUUUCGGCGGUUGGGGAUGGACUCGCGGCUUAUCAGCUUGUUGGUGGGGUAGUGGCUUACCAAGGCUUUGACGGGUAGCCGGCCUGAGAGGGUGACCGGCCACAUUGGGACUGAGAUACGGCCCAGACUCCUACGGGAGGCAGCAGUGGGGAAUAUUGCACAAUGGGCGGAAGCCUGAGGCAGCAACGCCGCGUGCGGGGUGACGGCCUUCGGGUUGUAAACCGCUUUCGCCUGUGACGAAGCGUGAGUGACGGUAAUGGGUAAAGAAGCACCGGCUAACUACGUG